rnacentral:rRNA from 1 species
UGGGGAAUUUUGGACAAUGGGCGAAAGCCUGAUCCAGCAAUGCCGCGUGUGUGAAGAAGGCCUUCGGGUUGUAAAGCACUUUUGUCCGGAAAGAAAUCCUUGGCUCUAAUACAGUCGGGGGAUGACGGUACCGGAAGAAUAAGCACCGGCUAACUACGUGCCAGCAGCCGCGGUAAUACGUAGGGUGCAAGCGUUAAUCGGAAUUACUGGGCGUAAAGCGUGCGCAGGCGGUUUGCUAAGACCGAUNUGAAAUCCCCGGGCUCAACCUGGGAACUGCAUUGGUGACUGGCAGGCUAGAGUAUGGCAGAGGGGGGUAGAAUUCCACGUGUAGCAGUGAAAUGCGUAGAGAUGUGGAGGAAUACCGAUGGCGAAGGCAGCCCCUGGGCCAAUACUGACGCUCAUGCACGAAAGCGUGGGGAGCAAACAGGUUAGAUACCCUGGUAGUCCACGCCCUAAAACGAUGUCAACUAGUUGUUGGGGAUUCAUUUCCUUAGUAAC